CUUAAAGGAAUUGACGGGGGCCCGCACAAGCGGUGGAGCAUGUGGUUUAAUUCGAUGCAACGCGAAGAACCUUACCUACUCUUGACAUCCAGAGAACUUAGCAGAGAUGCUUUGGUGCCUUCGGGAACUCUGAGACAGGUGCUGCAUGGCUGUCGUCAGCUCGUGUUGUGAAAUGUUGGGUUAAGUCCCGCAACGAGCGCAACCCUUAUCCUUUGUUGCCAGCGAUUCGGUCGGGAACUCAAAGGAGACUGCCAGUGAUAAACUGGAGGAAGGUGGGGAUGACGUCAAGUCAUCAUGGCCCUUACGAGUAGGGCUACACACGUGCUACAAUGGCAUAUACAAAGAGAAGCGACCUCGCGAGAGCAAGCGGACCUCAUAAAGUAUGUCGUAGUCCGGAUUGGAGUCUGCAACUCGACUCCAUGAAGUCGGAAUCGCUAGUAAUCGUAGAUCAGAAUGCUACGGUGAAUACGUUCCCGGGCCUUGUACACACCGCCCGUCACACCAUGGGAGUGGGUUGCAAAAGAAGUAGGUAGCUUAACCUUCGGGAGGGCGCUUACCACUUUGUGAUCCAUGACUGGGGUGAAGUCGUAACAAGGUAAC
rnacentral:rRNA from 1 species